UACGGGGGGGGCAAGCGUUGUUCGGAAUUACUGGGCGUAAAGGGCUCGUAGGCGGCCAACUAAGUCGGAUGUGAAAUCCCCAGGCUCAACCUGGGAACUGCAUCCGAUACUGGAUGGCUUGAAUUCGGGAGAGGGAUGCAGAAUUCCAGGUGUAGCGGUGAAAUGCGUAGAUAUCUGGAGGAAUACCGGUGGCGAAGGCGGCAUCCUGGACCGACAUUGACGCUGAUGAGCGAAAGCUAGGGGAGCAAACGG
rnacentral:rRNA from 1 species